rnacentral:rRNA from 1 species
ACGGAGGGAGCUAGCGUUAUUCGGAAUUACUGGGCGUAAAGCGCACGUAGGCGGCUUUGUAAGUAAGGGGUGAAAGCCCAGAGCUCAACUCUGGAAUUGCCCUUUAGACUGCAUCGCUUGAAUCAUGGAGAGGUCAGUGGAAUUCCGAGUGUAGAGGUGAAAUUCGUAGAUAUUCGGAAGAACACCAGUGGCGAAGGCGGCUGACUGGACAUGUAUUGACGCUGAGGUGCGAAAGCGUGGGGAGCAAACAG